rnacentral:lncRNA from 1 species
CUGUGUGUGGUUUGUAUAUAGUGUAUGUCUGUGUGUACCUGUGGCUGUGCAGGGGUGUGUGUGUGUGUGUGUGUGUGUGUGUGUGUGUGUCUGUCUGUCUGUCUGUCUGUCUGUCUGUGGAGAGCAAAGGUCAAUGUUAGGAAUCUUCCUCCAUUUCUCAUUUGUUUGUUUGUUUGUUUGUUUUCAGACAGGAUUUCCCACUGAACACAGAAGUUGCCAUUUUUGCUACAAUGGAUGACUAGAGGACCCUGGGAUCAACGCAAGCUAGGAUUAGCGAUGCAAGCCACCAUUUUACGUAGGUGUUGGGAUUGGAACUCAAGUGCCCGUGCUUGUGCAGGAAGCAUUUUACCCACUGCGUCAUCUCCCCAGCCCUUCACAUGCUGCUUGCUAUGUUUUGACUGGAUCCCAAGUACUGCCCUGCUCAAGGCUAAGUCUCAUUUCCAUCCAAGGGCGAAGGAAGCUAAGGCUGGGAAAGCCAAAUGUAGAAUUCUCAGCUCCUCCUGCACCAUGCCUGCCUGGAUGCCGCCAUGUUCCUGCCUGGGUGAUAAUGGACGGAACCUCUGAAUCUGUAAGCCAGGCCCAAUUAAAUGUUGUCCUUAUAAGAGUUGCCUUGGUCAUGGUGUCUGUUCACAGCAGUAAAACCUUACUAAGACAGAGAUUUUCAUUAUAAAAUUAAAAAUUUUUUCUGCUUAUGUGUGUGAUAAUGUAUGUAUAUGCCAGAGAGGGUUUCAGAUCUCCCGGAGCUGGAGUUACAGGCAGCUGUGAGCCACUUCUACCACUGGUAAUGGGAUCUGGGCCUGCGUCCUGGAGGAGGGCAGCAAGUCCUCUUAACAAUCAUCACUCCAGCCUCUCAUUAUAAAGCUUUAGACAACAAAAGAAAUCAUACAGGAAGCAAUUCUCCAGUCCCCAGCAUCUCAGCAGAUACUGCAGGGGGCGGCAGUGGGGUCCCAGCUCAGCCCUACCCAAUUUAUAAUCCCCAAACCAAGACUGCCCAAAAGAAUUUGUUUUUCAAGAUGGUGUUUGUGUAACUUAGCUUGGAACUGGCUUCGAACUCAUGGAGACCUACUUGCCUCUGCCUCUUGAGUGCUGGGGUUACAGACUUGUGCCACCACCGCCUGGCCCUAAAAGAAUUUUUAAGUCUCUAUGUUCUGAGGUCAGUGUUGCAGCAACUCUCCUGCUGAGUAAAUGUCCCUUAACCUUCUGCCACAGUUAACCUACCCAUGUCUUCAACAGUAGUACAUAUGCACAGCAAGGACAGAGACACAUUCACCUCCGAGCCAGCAGGGACCCUGAGUGGAGACUCAUCCUGUGGUCAUUCUCUGAGCCUGCAGGAGCUGUAGCAUGGGCUGUUGAAGGUCUGUCCACUCUCUUUAUUCCAUUUUGAAUCAGGCCUCUCUUUAAACUUCUCAUUUCCUAGAGCACAAACCUUGGCUCCACCAUUCCAUUUCCUGGUGCCCCUUUUCUCUGUAAACUGUACAUUUUAUUUCUCUUGGCCCCACUUGCUCCUUUCGUUGUAGGCCUGAGUAAG